rnacentral:rRNA from 1 species
UACGUAGGGUGCAAGCGUUAAUCGGAAUUACUGGGCGUAAAGCGUGCGCAGGCGGUUAUGUAAGACAGUUGUGAAAUCCCCGGGCUCAACCUGGGAACUGCAUCUGUGACUGCAUAGCUAGAGUACGGUAGAGGGGGAUGGAAUUCCGCGUGUAGCAGUGAAGUGCGUAGAUAUGCGGAGGAACACCGAUGGCGAAGGCAAUCCCCUGGACCUGUACUGACGCUCAUGCACGAAAGCGUGGGGAGCAAACAGG